rnacentral:rRNA from 1 species
UACGUAGGGUGCAAGCGUUGUCCGGAAUUAUUGGGCGUAAAGAGCUCGUAGGCGGUCUGUCGCGUCGGCUGUGAAAAACCUGGGGCUUAACUCCGGGCCUGCAGCCGAUACGGGCAGACUAGAGUUCGGCAGGGGGAGACUGGAAUUCCGUGGUGUAGCGGUGAAAUGCGCAGAUAUCAGGAGGAACACCGGUGGCGAAGGCGGGGUCUCUGGGGCCGAUACUGACGCUGAGGAGCGAAAAGCGUGGGGAGCAAACAGG